AAAAAUUCAAAUUUAUGACAUCAUAUAUCAUUAGGAAAAAUGUCGAUCUGUUAAAGUUUUAAAGUAAAAAACACUGUAGCCAUCUGUCAUUUAUUAGACAUAAAACAAACUGGCCAACACAAUCAACUAUCCUUAGUCACAAUUAGGUAAUUGCAAUAAAAAAUAAUCAUUAAAACAUAAUAAUAACAAUAAUAAGCCUCUUUGGUAAAGAAAAAAGUACAUUUGAAAAUCCCUGGAUAUAAAAUACGUUCAAAUGAAUUUCAUUAUUUAUGAUGGUAUAGCAGUUAAACUAUGACAAGUGAGCUUAUGUAUGGGAAAAAUUCUGGGCCUUUGUCAGUGAGUGGGUCUUCCGAAUCUUCCUGGCUACAGGCCUGAAGAGUUAGAGCACAUUUUAUGCUGAUAGUAAACAUGUUUUUAAUGGAGUUCUGGCUGUAAAAGUGCAGCUACAGGUAUUUCAGGCGCAGGUCAGAUUUUCUCCAGGUCAUCAUUUAUUGUAUUUAUAAUAAUUUUGUCUAACAAAAAUAUUAGACCUGUCCAGUUUCAUCUGCAAUGCAUCCCUGAUCACCUUCUGAAGUGGUUUGAGCGAUCGGAUUUAUAAAACAAACAAAGUGAGCAAACAGCCUCAAAAACACAGACGUGACGAGAUUAACACCUUUUGCUGUGAUGUGGCAUCUGACAGCUGAGGACUCCGCUUGCCAUUAAAGCCUUCGUCGGACAGUUAUUUUAAAAAAUGUUAAAUACGCAGGACGUCCCGGCUGGCUAAUGCAGCCAGUUAGUCUAGAACCUCAUGGAUAGGGGCAGAUGUUCAUCUGUUAGGAAGUAAGUAACAUUAGCCUCACCCUGUUUGGCAGUCUUUCUGAACAUACGUUCAAUAUUUUGUGAUAAUGACGCCGCUUCCUGCCUUUUCUGCCUCUCUUGCUCUUUUUGACCCACAGCGUUACUCAGUAUGUGUUGAGAAGUUUUGUCUUCCUACACUGCAAACUCAUAGUGUCACACCCCUAUUCAUAUAAUGGUACACUCCAAUCUCCUCUGGCCAAUCAGGACUGCCUCAAGGGCUUUAUUAACUGCACCUGUUCCCACAGUUUGCUACUUUUCGGCAUCACAUGGCUGAACUGUGCAGAGGGCUGAAUUUGAUCUCCUUUGUUUUCCUGUGUGUGCGUAUUUGACCAUAAAACCACGCACAAUCACCGACACGCACACAAUCACACAAACACACUCACCGACACACAAACACACACAUACCUUUCCUCCUGAGUACAAAUCCUUGUCAAUGCUAAUAAACGCCACUAAAUGGAG